GUCUUCUUCACCUUCUUCUUCGCUACAAUAUAUCAAUUUAUUUCCAAUUGUCAAUCCUUUCCUCCGGGCAAUGCCAGGUGGCAGACUAUGCAUACAUGGACCAUUGUCUUCUCAUCACCGGCACUCAGGAUGUGCUUAUCUGCGCAUAUCUCCAGCUCUGCAUAUUCCCCCCUCCCUCCUCCAUAUGUUAAUCCGGUGUAACCCAACCUCUCCUUAAUGUAUUCAUGAUGUAAUCUGUGUAACCCAACCUUUCCUUAAUGUAUUCAUGAUGUCACUGGGAUGUAUUUUGCACUGUAUUCUGGGACAUGGAGGGAGUUUCAAAAGUUCAUGUCACCCCUUUCUCGCUGUUCAAUCUUGCCUUGAACCUGUUGCGCAAUAAACUUGGAUCUUCUGCAAUUUG